ensembl:lncRNA
UAGUCUAUUAUAAAUAUGAGAAAUAUAAUCCAUUGUAAAAGUGGAUGCAAUGUGUUUAUUGUGUUAUAAAUCAUCAUACUCUUAAAAGCUAUAACCACAAAUAAGUAAAUAUUGUAUUAAAACUGUUCUUAUGAAUAUUCAUGAGAUGAUACAACAUAUAGGUUUUUUUUAUAAUGUGUUAUGCAUUCAUUAUAAUGCCUUAAGAAUACCCUUAUAAUGUAUUAUAAAUACAGGCUUCAUAGAAAGUGUUACCACAGAUCCUUUACUAAUUUUAUUUACACACCUCCCUUAUUGAGAGUGUCUGGGACACCUGUGAUGGGGAGAUCACAGAAGUGGAUGCAUCACAGGGAAAAGGGGCAGGUGAUGAACUUUUCCUCACAGGUGAGGAUGAGGAUGAGGAUGAUGUAG